GGUUAAGCGACUAAGCGUACACGGUGGAUGCCCUGGCAGUCAGAGGCGAUGAAGGGCGUGCUAAUCUGCGAUAAGCGCCGGUAAGGUGAUAUGAACCGUUAUAACCGGCGAUACCCGAAUGGGGAAACCCAGUGUGAUUCGUCACACUAUCAUUAACUGAAUCCAUAGGUUAAUGAGGCGAACCGGGGGAACUGAAACAUCUAAGUACCCCGAGGAAAAGAAAUCAACCGAGAUUCCCCCAGUAGCGGCGAGCGAACGGGGAGGAGCCCAGAGCCUGAAUCAGCAUGUGUGUUAGUGGAAGCGUCUGGAAAGGCGCGCGAUACAGGGUGACAGCCCCGUACACAAAAGCGCAUAUGCUGUGAGCUCGAUGAGUAGGGCGGGACACGUGGUAUCCUGUCUGAAUAUGGGGGGACCAUCCUCCAAGGCUAAAUACUCCUGACUGACCGAUAGUGAACCAGUACCGUGAGGGAAAGGCGAAAAGAACCCCGGCGAGGGGAGUGAAAAAGAACCUGAAACCGUGUACGUACAAGCAGUGGGAGCCCCACCACUAAGCCAGUGGUGAACUCCACAUACGCAUCCUUUGCUGAGGAGACGGUUAACGGAGCGAAAGCGACGUUCAACCUCAAAAGAAGCAGAGGGGGCUUAGUGGUGGGGUGACUGCGUACCUUUUGUAUAAUGGGUCAGCGACUUAUAUUCUGUAGCAAGGUUAACUGUAUAGGGGAGCCGGAGGGAAACCGAGUCUUAACCGGGCGUUAAGUUGCAGGGUAUAGACCCGAAACCCGGUGAUCUAGCCAUGGGCAGGUUGAAGGUUGGGUAACACUAACUGGAGGACCGAACCGACUAAUGUUGAAAAAUUAGCGGAUGACCUGUGGCUGGGGGUGAAAGGCCAAUCAAACCGGGAGAUAGCUGGUUCUCCCCGAAAGCUAUUUAGGUAGCGCCUCGUGAAUUCAUCUCCGGGGGUAGAGCACUGUUUCGGCUAGGGGGCCAUCCCGGCUUACCAACCCGAUGCAAACUGCGAAUACCGGAGAAUGUUAUCACGGGAGACACACGGCGGGUGCUAAUGUCCGUCGUGAAGAGGGAAACAACCCAGACCGCCAGCUAAGGUCCCAAAGUCAUGGUUAAGUGGGAAACGAUGUGGGAAGGCCCAGACAGCCAGGAUGUUGGCUUAGAAGCAGCCAUCAUUUAAAGAAAGCGUAAUAGCUCACUGGUCGAGUCGGCCUGCGCGGAAGAUGUAACGGGGCUAAACCAUGCACCGAAGCUGCGGCAGCGACACCGUGUGUUGUUGGGUAGGGGAGCGUUCUGUAAGCCUGUGAAGGUGUGCUGUGAGGCAUGCUGGAGGUAUCAGAAGUGCGAAUGCUGACAUAAGUAACGAUAAAGCGGGUGAAAAGCCCGCUCGCCGGAAG
rnacentral:rRNA from 1 species